rnacentral:rRNA from 1 species
GACGAACGCUGGCGGCGUGCCUAAUACAUGCAAGUAGAACGCUGAAGGAGGAGCUUACUUCUCUGGAUGAGUUGCGAACGGGUGAGUAACGCGUAGGUAACCUGCCUGGUAGCGGGGGAUAACUAUUGGAAACGAUAGCUAAUACCGCAUAAGAGUAGAUGUCGCAUGACAUUUACUUAAAAGGUGCAAUUGCACCACUACCAGAUGGACCUGCGUUGUAUUAGCUAGUUGGUGGGGUAACGGCUUACCAAGGCGACGAUACAUAGCCGACCUGGGAGGGCGAUCGGCCACGCUGGGACUGAGACACGGCCCAGACUGCUACGGGAGGCAGCAGUAGGGAAUCUUCGGCAAUGGACGGAAGUCUGACCGAGCAACGCCGCGUGAGUGGAGAAGGUUUUCGGAUCGUAAAGCUCUGUUGUAAGAGAAGAACGAGUGUGAGAGUGGAAAGUUCACACUGUGACGGUAUCUUACCAGAAAGGGACGGCUAACUACGUGCCAGCCGCCGCGGUAA